rnacentral:sRNA from 1 species
ACAGGAACAGUAUUCAGUUUACUGAUGGAUAUGAAGUAAAAGAAGAUAUUGGAGUUGGCUCCUACUCUGUUUGCAAGAGAUGUAUACAUAAAGCUACAAACAUGGAGUUUGCAGUGAAGAUUAUUGAUAAAAGCAAGAGAGACCCAACAGAAGAAAUUGAAAUUCUUCUUCGUUAUGGACAGCAUCCAAACAUUAUCACUCUAAAGGAUGUAUAUGAUGAUGGAAAAUAUGUGUAUGUAGUAACAGAACUUAUGAAAGGAGGUGAAUUGCUGGAUAAAAUUCUUAGACAAAAAUUUUUCUCUGAACGAGAGGCCAGUGCUGUCCUGUUCACUAUAACUAAAACCGUUGAAUAUCUUCACGCACAAGGGCUGAGAGCGGAAAAUGGUCUUCUCAUGACUCCUUGUUACACUGCAAAUUUUGUUGCACCAGAGGUUUUAAAAAGACAAGGCUAUGAUGCUGCUUGUGAUAUAUGGAGUCUUGGUGUCCUACUCUAUACAAUGCUUACCGGUUACACUCCAUUUGCAAAUGGUCCUGAUGAUACACCAGAGGAAAUAUUGGCACGAAUAGGUAGCGGAAAAUUCUCACUCAGUGGUGGUUACUGGAAUUCUGUUUCAGACACAGCAAAGGACCUGGUGUCAAAGAUGCUUCAUGUAGACCCUCAUCAGAGACUGACUGCUGCUCUUGUGCUCAGACAUCCUUGGAUCGUCCACUGGGACCAACUGCCACAAUACCAACUAAACAGACAGGAUGCACCACAUCUAGUAAAGGGUGCCAUGGCAGCUACAUAUUCUGCUUUGAACCGUAAUCAGUCACCAGUUUUGGAACCAGUAGGCCGCUCUACUCUUGC